GGCAAGUCUGGUGCCAGCAGCCGCGGUAAUUCCAGCUCCAAUAGCGUAUGCUAAAGUUGUUGCAGUUAAAAGCUCGUAGUCGGAUCUCGGGUGAGGUGGCGCACUGAACGGCGGAAGGGAAACCCCGGAAGCCGCGAUUGCGUCGCGCAGCAAUGUUUGGGGAAUGGUCCGCCGGGAUGGCGAGUACCAGCCCCACUCACCCCUAGCGGUGGUGGAAAGGGCGGUUGAGGGAAACCGAGACCUCACCCGGUCUGCCACUAAAUAAUAGGCUUCCAGAAGGGGCGACCCCCCUAAUCUUUAUUGAUGUGCGGGUUAGGCGCGCACCUCUGGAUCGUUUACUUUGAAGAAAUUAGAGUGUUUAAAGCAGGCGCACACAGAGCAACGGGUCGUCGACCGUCAAAAGUUGG
rnacentral:rRNA from 1 species